rnacentral:rRNA from 1 species
CCUGAUGCAGCAACGCCGCGUGCGGGAUGACGGCCUUCGGGUUGUAAACCGCUUUCACCCAUGACGAAGCGCGAGUGACGGUAGUGGGGGAAGAAGCACCGGCCAACUACGUGCCAGCAGCCGCGGUGAUACGUAGGGUGCGAGCGUUGUCCGGAAUUAUUGGGCGUAAAGAGCUUGUAGGCGGUUGAUCGCGUCGAUAGUGAAAUCCCGGGGCUCAACCUCGGGCUUGCUGUCGAUACGGGUUGACUUGAGGAAGGUAGGGGAGAAUGGAACUCCCGGUGGAGCGGUGGAAUGCGCAGAUAUCGGGAAGAACACCGGUGGCGAAGGCGGUUCUCUGGACCUUUCCUGACGCUGAGAAGCGAAAGCGUGGGGAGCAAACAGGCUUAGAUACCCUGGUAGUCCACGCUGUAAACGGUGGGUACUAGGUGUGGGUCGCAUUCCACGUGAUCCGUGCCGUAGCCAACGCAUUAAGUACCCCGCCUGGGGAGUACGGCCGCAAGCUAAAACUCAAAGGAAUUGACGGGGCCCCGCACAAGCGGCGGAGCAUGCGGAUUAAUUCGAUGCAACCGAAGAACCUACCUGGGUUUGACAUGUACCGGAGCGCUCAGAGAUGG